UUGAAUAUUCCGCUCCACUCUCUCUUCCUUGCUUGGUUUCUGAGAAGUUGGGUGUAAUCCUCAUGUUUGCUCCGCUGUAGUUAAGGUGUAAUGUGGCAAAAUCAUGGACACUCAGCAAGUGUUUGCUUAAUAAACGAGAGGAAAAACAAAGCAACGUUAAGUAGAGUCACUACAGGCAAAAAGGGCAUUUAGCUGUAGAAAGAGCUAAACAAGUGGAAGAGUUCCUGCAGCGAAAACAAGAAGCAAU